CUGACAAGAACACAGUAGCACAGAAGGCAGAGAAGCCCAAGAGGCUCUCAGUAAUCGUGAAAUCCUAGAGAAACUGCGCCCGCUCCGCUCCUCCUCGUCCCGCUCGCCGGCCCGGGGCUUAUUGUCCGCAGCGGUGCGCGGCCGGUGCCGGGCCCUUCGCACCCCGGGCGGCUCGGCUCGUGCGCUGUCUCGCUUCCAUUCCCUGCAAUUUCAAAUCUCCACGCUCUUUCAUUCCUGCGAUACCGGCUAAUUCUG
rnacentral:lncRNA from 1 species